rnacentral:rRNA from 1 species
UGAUCCUACGGGGCGCAGCAGUGGGGAAUAUUGCACAAUGGGGGAAACCCUGAUGCAGCAACGCCGCGUGAGUGAAGAAGUAUUUCGGAAUGUAAAGCUCUAUCAGCAGGGAAGAAGAAAGACGGUACCUGACUAAGAAGCCCCGGCUAACUACGUGCCAGCAGCCGCGGUAAUACGUAGGGGGCAAGCGUUAUCCGGAUUUACUGGGUGUAAAGGGAGCGUAGACGGCUUA